AACCUGGUUGAUCCUGCCAGUUACAUAUGCUUGUCUUAAAUAUUAACCCAUGCAUGUGCAAGUUCAGUAUUGAACAGCGAAACUGCGAAUGGCUCAUUAAAACAGUUAUAGUUUAUUUGAUAAUUAAAGAUUACAUGGAUAACCGAGCUAAUUGUUGGGCUAAUACAUGCUUAAAAUUCCGUGUCCUGCGACCGGAACGUAUUUAUUAGAUAUUAAACCAAUCGCAGCAAUGUGAUUGAGAUGAUUCAAAGUAACUGAUCGAAUCGCAGCUUGCUGCGAUAAAUCAUCUAAGUUUCUGCCCUAUCAGCUCUCGAUGGUAGUGUAUUGGACUACCAUGGCAGUCACGGGUAACGGAGAAUUAGGGUUCGAUUCCGGAGAAGGAGCCUGAGAAACGGCUACUACAACUACGGUUCGGCAGCAGGGAAGAAAAUUGGCCAAUCCUAACUCUGGGAGCCAGUGACAAGAAAUAGCAAGCUGGGAAACUUUGUUUCUACGGCAUUGAAAUGAGAAAAGUUUAAAACUCUUAGCGAGGAACAAUUGGAGGGCAAGUCAUGGUGCCAGCAGCCGCGGUAAUUCCAGCUCCAAUAGCGUAUAUUAAAGUUGUUGCAGUUAAAAAGCUCGUAGUUGAACUUCUGUCUAGAUUUAUUUCGACUCGUCGAGUAAAGCUGGACAUACGUCUGCAAACUAAAAUCGGCCUUCACUGGUUCGACUUAGGGAGUAGACAUUUUACUGUGAAAAAAUUAGAGUGUUUAAGGCAGGUACUAGCCUGAAUACAUUAGCAUGGAAUAAUGGAAUAGGACUAAGUCCAUUUUAUUGGUUCUUGGAUUUGGUAAUGAUUAAUAGGGACAGUUGGGGGCAUUAGUAUUUAAUAGUCAGAGGUGAAAUUCUUGGAUUUAUUAAGGACUAACUAAUGCGAAAGCAUUUGCCAAAGAUGUUUUCAUUAAUCAAGAACGAAAGUUAGGGGAUCAAAGACGAUCAGAUACCGUCGUAGUCUUAACUAUAAACUAUACCGACUCGGGAUCGGCUGGAAUAUAUGUCCAGUCGGCACCGUAUGAGAAAUCAAAGUCUUUGGGUUCUGGGGGAAGUAUGGUACGCAAGUCUGAAACUUAAAGGAAUUGACGGAACAGCACACCAGAAGUGGAACCUGCGGCUUAAUUUGACUCAACACGGGGAAACUCACGAGCGCAAGACAGAGAAGGGAUUGACAGAUUGAGAGCUCUUUCUUGAUUCUUUGGGUGGUGGUGCAUGGCCGUUCUUAGUUGGUGGAGUGAUUUGUCUGGUUAAUUCCGUUAACGAACGAGACCUUAACCUGCUAACUAGUCUGUCUGUGAACAACAGAUUGUACUUCUUAGAGGGACUAUUGUGCAAGAAGCCAAUGGAAGUUUAAGGCAAUAACAGGUCUGUGAUGCCCCUAGACGUGCUCGGCCGCACGCGCGUUACAAUGACUGGCGCAGAAAGUAUUUCCUGUCCUGGGAAGGUACGGGUAAUCUUAUUAAUACCAGUCGUGUUAGGGAUAGUUCUUUGGAAUUUUGGAUCUUGAACGAGGAAUUUCUAGUAAGUGCAAGUCAUCAGCUUGCGUUGAUUAUGUCCCUGCCGUUUGUACACACCGCCCGUCGCUUGUAGUAACGAAUGGUCUGGUGAACCUUCUGGACUGCGUUAGCAAUAAUGCGGAAAAAUAAGUAAACCCUACCAUUUGGAACAACAAGAAGUCGUAACAAGGUAUCUGUAGGUGAACCUGCAGAUGGAUCAUU
rnacentral:rRNA from 1 species